rnacentral:rRNA from 1 species
UGAAAUUAUUCAACGGCCGCGGUAUCCUAACCGUGCGAAGGUAGCGUAAUCACUUGUUCUUUAAAUGAGGACUAGUAUGAAUGGCACCACGAGGGUUCUACUGUCUCCUUUUUUUAAUCAGUGAAACUAAUCUCCCCGUGAAGAAGCGGGGAUCUUUAUAUAAGACGAGAAGACCCUAUGGAGCUUUAAACAACCAACAUUUGCUACACCAUAACAUUUUCCCUAAAAGAAGUAUAGCAUUAUGAUUAUUAGUUUUCGAUUGGGGUGAUCACGGAGUAAAAUAUAACCUCCAUGCCGAAAGGGUUCUUACCCUGAGCAAAAAGCCACAACUUUAAGCACUAAAAAAUUAACGCAGUUUGACCCAAUAUUUUGAUCAACGAACCAAGUUAC